ensembl:lncRNA
UGAAGAACCAUUCACUGACCGAGAUACUUUCUUCACCAAUGACAGAUGGUCUGAAAGGAAAAAAAAAAAAAAAAAGUGAAUAUUUGGCUUCAAAACUGAAAACAGACACAUCACGCUCCCCUUUCUCUACUACCUUAAAAAUACCCACUGGCCUGUCUCCACUUAGAUGCUGGUAUUUUCUGAAAUAGUACCACCAGCUUCCUCCUAACCGUGACAUAAGCUGUAGCAAGCUGUCUGCAGUGAUAGCCUGCAUAAAUCAUCGCUCCUGAAGGGAACAGAUGUUCAGGGUAUGAAAGAGUAAUACCACAAUUUAGUCAUAAUUAAAAUUCACCUUAGCAUGCCUCUAUCAGUGAGCAGAGAGGAACAUUUCACUUCUCACCUACAAAAAUGAAAUGCCUCUCAUUUCUUCUGCUUCAGAAAAAUUAAGUCUGAACCUUUUGUACAUUGUUUGGGUUCCACGUCUGACACCGCAUCGUAUAAAUGACAUUUUUAUUUCACUUCAAUUCCUAGUUUUUUUCCUUCCCCAAACACUAGGAAAUUACCUCUAAAUGGUGUACUGCCACUGCACAAAAUGCACUUACAAUUAAACCUUCAAAGGAAAUUGUUGCACAUUGCAUGCAGAAAUACAAUCAGUAUCCAGCUACGGAUCAGACCUGUGCCAAUAAACACAAUCAUUGGACUGAUAACAAUUCACUCUGAGCUGGAUAUAUUUAAAAACUUAGGGGCUGGAGGCCUUUAAAAAUUAUUCCUUAACCUAAGAUCACUAAAAUCAGUGGGAGUUAGAGGAUUAACUCAGGAAAAUUUGAACCUUAGCCUUGUAACUGCCAUUAACAUUAAUGGAAUGUCUCUAUACACAUAAUUCUGAAAAUGUAAGCUUCAUACUGCUGUUAUUACACUUGGAUUACAUUAGAUGCAUGACAGUUCUUUUGAAAAAAAUGGUUUCAAUUUAUAGGCCUUUAUAUCAUGAGGCUACAUUAUUAUAAAAUAUAAAGGAUAUGUUGAUUUUGUUACUAAAUUUCUCUAAAUUCACUAAAGUAAAAAUGGCUGAGCCUUUCGUAGCACUUUAAAAUUCUAAGACAAAAAAAAUAAUCUUAUAAUCAGCAUUGAUACUGGCAAUCAAUUUGAAAAAAUAAAAAACCAGCCCUGUCAUUAAACCAUGGUUUAGUUUCCCAGUUAAAUCUUUAGUGACUGUUCAUGGGUUAGAUCCUUAGUGAAUGUAAAUUAGGUAAUUUUAUUGAAUUCAGUACAGCUGAAUUUAACUUAUGAGGACUGAGAAUAUGAAUUGAUAAAUUAUUAAUCCAGUAAGGGUUUUGUAGUAAAACUUACCUCUCAACAGGAAAGGGAAUUUCAAAUUUGCACUUGAACAAUUGUGGUUUGUUUUGUUCUGUGGGGAUGUAUCUACAGCUAGUCAAGCAAAGACUGCAAUUUUUAGGUGAGGGACCCAAAGGUUCCACUUAAUGUACUUUGAUUCCUAUCAGAAAGCAGUUCCAAAGCAUGCAAACAGAUAUAAUUUGGAUAAAUUAAAGCAAUGGAUGUGAUCUAAAGCCCCUGCAUUAUUCCACAGUACAGAGUGGAGAUAGCUCAGGGUAUUUUCUUUUAAAACACGUGUAGUGUGGGCAUCGAGAUCCUCUGUACAAACAACUGUUUCCUUCCACACAUUUUUUUCCUGUUGUUUAAAACUUGGUAACAUAGAUGUAGUUCUAUUUUUCUGCUCUCUUCUCCAGAGCCCUUCCAGUUCCUUGUAGAAUUUAGGAAUUUUGUCUUAUCUCCACUUUUUAAACAGAACAAAUCUGCUCCUGCAGUUAUCAGGAAAUUAUUCUGUGGUUGCUGUGAAAUUUGGCAUGUGCAUUUGGUAUGGACUUGUUAAAAUCUUCUGCUAAAAUCCUACACAUUGCCACCCAUUCCAGCAUCAAAUGACUUGGCUGACACUGGCUGCACUGGGGAGUCUCAAGCUCACAAAGUACAGGUAAAACUGCCAGGUAGGAUACAGACAAGUGAAGAUCACCCUUUUAUCUGCCACAGCAUAAUUCCAAUUAUUAUUGUUAGCCACAGCUAAAUGGAAAAAUGCUAGAUCAGGAAAUGCAGAAGUGACGUUAACAAUUCCAUGUAUUUGGAACAGUCCUUAUUAUUAAAGAAUUGGGAAAAAUUUGUUAUUAUUGAUUUAUUAUUCAUUGAGAAAGCAUACAAGUUUUAGUAAAUAAAUUUUAGAAGUGGGACUCCUGAAAAAUUGUAGAGGUUUGAAAUAAUCUCCUCUCUACAAGGAUUUGGAUGAUAACAUGGAUAAGAACCACUUAUUCAUAUAUUAAAUUUCCUUUUACUUCAUGAACAACAAGAUUUUGAGGAUGUUUUUCUUAUGGUCAUUGUUUCUGUUAAUAACCCUUGUUUGUGUGGAAAGAUAAACUUGUUUGACUGUAUAAAACACUCUGUCCACUCAGUUUAUAGAAUGGCUUGACUGACUCCCUGUCCUGCCAUCAAUGCAGGGUUCAGGUCACAUGAGACUGCAGCAAUGGGGGGGAUGCAUUCCAGAAUUCAUGACGUAUUUAAUUCAUGAUGUAUUUCAUGAUGUAUUUCAGAAUUCUCAUUAAGAACAACACAUCUUGAAUCACACCUUCCUUUGACUUGUCCAUGAAUUCCUCUUCUGGCCAUAAGAAAAUAGUGAUCUUGUAAUAAUGAGGGGCUUGCAAGACCAGUUUAAUUAAUGGUUGAAAAAUAUAUCUAUUAACAUUGGAAAAUAGAUCUCAAAAUCUCAACAGCUGUGAGUAAAAUGAUGGACUGACUAUCACCUGUAAGUUUUUGAAUUGGCAUAUUUUCAGACAAGUUUCAGGAAGGGCCUAAGCCUGGGAAUAGAGGGCUCUGAUUUGCAUUCCCAAAUCUAGUCUAAGUCUGCGUCAUGAUCUAGUUUGGUGGGGUGUUAAUUUAUUUCAUUUUUAGAUGAAUAUUAAGUGUUAUUUGCCAUAUAAUCAAGCAUUUCAAGUCGUUUGUUACACAAGGGUAAAAGGAUGCUCUCAGUUUAGGUGUGCCACACUAAGAAAAGGUGGCUUGGUUUCCACCUGAACAGCGUGGUACUUGGAAAAGAAGUGGCAGCUGAUCCAGAUUAUAAUGGAAGAUGACAUAAGGUGAAACUUAGAGAUCAUUUGGCAUUGAAUGAUAAGAGCCAGUAGAUGCCUAAAGGCAAAUUUAGGGAGAUUACAGCCGCCUAAACCAAAGAAUGUGAUAAAGAAAAAUUCUGUCCAUCCUUUAAGGUCACGCUCACAGUAUCCCUCAAGGCUGAGAAUUGUUCUGAAGGUCAAGCUUGUCUGUAUUCCACAGGAUAAGCCUGCUAGCAUGAUUCAAGCACAACAGGAAUAAACCCUCCAGGAAUCUGCAUGGCCAAAAAUGUGAAGCAUGACUUUCGUUCCCAGCCUUGAAUGAACAAGAUGUCCAUGAGACUGAUAUGUGGAAGAAGUUUAUGCAUGGUAAUCAAUACACUUCUGCCACUUCAGAGUGGCACAGACAUAAAAUCAGGUACCUGAGUAUCUUUGUCUUCCCUUAUUUUCAAAAAGAAAUUACUCUUGCCACCAAAAAUUAUCUGUACAUUGACACUUCUGUGCAUCACGAUCCUGUCUGGUUUGAUUAUUCAGCAGCUGCCAGUCUUUUGGGGCUCACAAACCAGGAACCUCCAAAGCAAAACUCCUUCAAUGAUAUUCAGUAAAUACAAAGACAAACAGUGAUAUUACUUGUCACAAAGAAAAUCAGCAUUUACAUUUAAAAAUUACCUGAAGAGUCAUGGUAAAGUCUCAUUUAUAGAGUGGCCAAGUGUUUCUAUUUCCUGGGCAGAGGGGGGGUCAGAUUCUAGAACCUUCUCAUUCUGACAGAGUCAGCUCCAGCUUUCACAAUUCCUAGGACAGUGCCCACGGUCUCCAGUUUGCAGGGUGCUCUGAUAUCUCUCUCCUGUUGCUAUUGGUCUGUACUGCAAUGACAAAUUAUCAGGGGAAGAGAGAAUGAGAGAGGAAGGAAGGGAAAGAAAAAAGAAAGGAAAGAAAAAGGAAAGAAAAAGGCAAAGGCAAGGCAAGGCAAGGGGAAAGGGGAAAGUGGAAAGGGGAAAGGCAUGGGAAUCUGACUUUACAGACCAUUGACAAUAAAGAACUUGUUUGGUACUAGGGUAAGGAUUUUAAGGAUUUUAUAACCCCAGGCUUCCAUAAUGUCCAAACAAGGUGUUUAAUCAGAGGCAUCAAAUCUCAUUUGUGACAAGGAUAAGUAACAGAAAUAGAGCAAAAAUGGACAAUGGAAAGACUGCCAGGGUUUUUAGGGGGAGAGAGUACCCUAUAACUAACUACAAAAAAAAAAAAAAAA